UACGAAGGGUGCAACCGUUGCUCGGAAUUAUUGGGCGUAAAGCGCACGUAGGCGGCCUUGUAAGUCGGAUGUGAAAUCCCUCGGCUUAACCGAGGACGUGCAUCCGAAACUGUGAGGCUCGAGUAUGGAAGAGGGUCGCAGAAUUCCCGGUGUAGAGGUGAAAUUCGUAGAUAUCGGGAGGAAUACCAGUGGCGAAGGCGGCGACCUGGGCCAAUACUGACGCUGAGGUGCGAAAGCGUGGGGAGCAAACAGG
rnacentral:rRNA from 1 species